UACGGGGGGGGGCAAGCGUUUGUUCGGAAUUACUGGGCGUAAAGGGCUCGUAGGCGGCCAACUAAGUCAGACGUGAAAUCCCUCGGCUUAACCGGGGAACUGCGUCUGAUACUGGAUGGCUUGAGUUUGGGAGAGGGAUGCGGAAUUCCAGGUGUAGCGGUGAAAUGCGUAGAUAUUCGGAAGAACACCAGUGGCGAAGGCGACUUACUGGACACAUAUUGACGCUGAGGUGCGAAAGCGUUGGGGAGCAAACAGG
rnacentral:rRNA from 1 species